AUGAGACAAAAGAUUAUCUUUUUAAAGAGAUUCGAUUCGGAACUCUUAUAUGUCCAAGGUCAAUAUGGAAAUUCUUUCAGAGGUUUUCCCUUACUUUUUCCGUGUCAACAAACAAUUCGAAAUACCUCGACUAGGUUCUCCAGAUUUAACCAAAACCGUGCACCCGCGUACGCCCGCGCACGUGGGGAGGGCUCGGAGCACGCGCGCGGUGCUGUACGUGGACGCCAUGGCCCGGAUGAGGUGCCGGCAAAGAAGGACACGUGUCGCACGAUGCACUCGUCCCGAAACCAUGUGUCCAAAGAGCGGACUCGACGGCGUACCUGGGUCGUAGAACAUGUCGUUUGGCAGGAGGCGGCGGCGGCGUUCGAUCUCCUCGCGGCGGGCACGGACGCUCGUCGGGACCGGCGGGAUCGGCACCUGGUCCGCGGACAUAUGCCAGUUAUUGGGCAGGUGAACGUCGCUCCAGGGGAGCGGCGUCCUCGUCUCCCAAUAAUGACGGCAAAUAUUGAUGACCCACAGGUAUAG
rnacentral:rRNA from 1 species